CAGACGGGUGAGUAACGCGUGGGAACAUACCCUUUCCUGCGGAAUAGCUCCGGGAAACUGGAAUUAAUACCGCAUACGCCCUACGGGGGAAAGAUUUAUCGGGGAAGGAUUGGCCCGCGUUGGAUUAGCUAGUUGGUGGGGUAAAGGCCUACCAAGGCGACGAUCCAUAGCUGGUCUGAGAGGAUGAUCAGCCACAUUGGGACUGAGACACGGCCCAAACUCCUACGGGAGGCAGCAGUGGGGAAUAUUGGACAAUGGGCGCAAGCCUGAUCCAGCCAUGCCGCGUGAGUGAUGAAGGCCUUAGGGUUGUAAAGCUCUUUCACCGAUGAAGAUAAUGACGGUAGUCGGAGAAGAAGCCCCGGCUAACUUCGUGCCAGCAGCCGCGGUAAUACGAAGGGGGCUAGCGUUGUUCGGAAUUACUGGGCGUAAAGCGCACGUAGGCGGAUAUUUAAGUCAGGGGUGAAAUCCCGCAGCUCAACUGCGGAACUGCCUUUGAUACUGGGUAUCUUGAGUAUGGAAGAGGUAAGUGGAAUUCCGAGUGUAGAGGUGAAAUUCGUAGAUAUUCGGAGGAACACCAGUGGCGAAGGCGGCUUACUG
rnacentral:rRNA from 1 species